UACGUAGGGUGCGAGCGUUGUCCGGAAUUACUGGGCGUAAAGAGCUCGUAGGUGGUUUGUCGCGUUGUUCGUGAAAACUCACAGCUUAACUGUGGGCGUGCGGGCGAUACGGGCAGACUGGAGUACUGCAGGGGAGACUGGAAUUCCUGGUGUAGCGGUGGAAUGCGCAGAUAUCAGGAGGAACACCGGUGGCGAAGGCGGGUCUCUGGGCCGUAACUGACGCUGGAGGAGCGAAAGCAUGGGGAGCGAACAGG
rnacentral:rRNA from 1 species